rnacentral:rRNA from 1 species
UGCCUACGGGAGGCAGCAGUGGGGAAUAUUGCACAAUGGGGGAAACCCUGAUGCAGCGACGCCGCGUGAGUGAAGAAGUAUUUCGGUAUGUAAAGCUCUAUCAGCAGGGAAGAAAAUGACGGUACCUGACUAAGAAGCCCCGGCUAACUACGUGCCAGCAGCCGCGGUAAUACGGAGGAUGCGAGCGUUAUCCGGAUUUAUUGGGUUUAAAGGGUGCGCAGGCGGCACGGCAAGCCGGCGGUCAAAUCGCGGGGCUCAACCCCGCCCAGCCGUCGGAACUGCCGGGCUAGAGUGGGCGAGAAGUG